ensembl:lncRNA
UGUCAAUGUGGUCUACCUGGACUUCAGUAAAGCCUUUGACACUGGCCCCCACAGCAUCCUCGUGGAGAAGCUGGCUGUCCACAGUUUGGAUAGGAGUACGCUCUGCUGGGUGAAACACUGGCUGGAUGGCUGGGCCCAAAGAGUUGUGGUCAGUGGAGUUAAAUCCAGCUGGCGGCCGGUCAUGAGUGGUGUCCCCCAGGGCUCAGUACUGGGGCUGCUUCUAUUUAACAUCUUUAUUAAUGAUCUUGACGAGGGGAUUGGGUGCACCCUCAGUAUGUUUGCAGAUGACACCAAGUUGGGAGGGAGUGUUGAUCUGCCUGAGGGGAGAAAGGCACUACAGAGGAACCUGGACAGACUGGAUUGAUGGGCCAAGGUUAACUGAGUUUCAACAGGGCCAAGUGUUGGGUCCUGCAUUUUGUUCACAACAACCCCAGGCAACCCUACAGGCUUGGGGAGGAGUGGCUGGAAAGCUGCCUGAUGGAAAGGGACCUCGGUGUACUGGUGGACAGUUGGUUGAAUAUGAGCCAGCAGUGUGCCCAGGUGGCCAAGAAAGCCACUGGCAUCCUGGCUUGUAUCAGGAAUGGUGUGGCAAGCAGGACUAGGGAAGUCAUCCUGUCCCUGUACUCGGCGUUGGUGAG